CCAUGAAGCCGGAAUUGCUAGUAAUGGCAGGUCAGCAUACUGCCGUGAAUACGUUCCCGGGCCCUUGUACACACCGCCCGUCACACCAUGAGAGUUGGGAAUACCCGAAGCCUGUGAGCUAACGUUAAGAGGCAGCAGUCGAAGGUAGAAUCAAUGAUUGGGGUGAAGUCGUAACAAGGUAGC
rnacentral:rRNA from 1 species